rnacentral:rRNA from 1 species
ACGGAGGGUGCAAGCGUUAAUCGGAAUUACUGGGCGUAAAGCGCACGUAGGUGGUUUGCUAAGUCAGCUGUGAAAUCCCCGGGCUCAACCUGGGCACUGCAGUUGAAACUGGCAAGCUAGAGUAGGGUAGAGGGGUGUGGAAUUCCAGGUGUAGCGGUGAAAUGCGUAGAUAUCUGGAGGAACAUCAGUGGCGAAGGCGACACCCUGGACCAGCACUGACACUGAGGCACGAAAGCGUGGGGAGCAAACAGGA